GGGGAUUUAGCUUAGUGGUAGAGCGCUUGCCUAGCAAGCACAAAGCCCUGGGUUCGGUCCCCAGCUCUG
rnacentral:tRNA from 1 species